AUUGAACGCUGGCGGCAGGCCUAACACAUGCAAGUCGAGCGAGCGGCGGACGGGUGAGUAAUGUAUGGGGAUCUGCCUGAUGGAGGGGGAUAACUACUGGAAACGGUAGCUAAUACCGCAUACCAUCAGAUGUACCCAUAUGGGAUUAGCUAGUUGGUGGGGUAACGGCUCACCUAGGCGACGAUCCCUAGCUGGUCUGAGAGGAUGAGCAGCAAAACUGGGACUGAGACACGGCCCAGACUCCUACGGGAGGCAGCAGUGGGGAAGAUUGCACAAUGGGCGCAAGCCUGAGGCAGCCAUGCCGCGUGUAUGAAGAAGGCCGUCGGGUUGUAAAGUACUUUCAGUGGGGAGGCGUUACCGACAGAAGAAGCACCGGCUAACUCCGUGCCAGCAGCCGCGGUAAUUC
rnacentral:rRNA from 1 species